GAAAAAUCACGGAAAUGCCCCUUUAUAUAUAAUCCGUAAGAAAUCUUAAAAAUCAUUCAAACGCCGCACCGUCCACAAAUGUUGCUCCAUAUGGAAUUAUGGAUGUGGUUUUCGACACCAGCUUCACGUUCUGGGAAUUGUAGACAGCCAGCCCAAAGCAAGAUCUUAGUGCUCCUAUGGCUUAUGACAAUGAGCUUGAACUUUUGUUUUGCAGCUAUCUUCUGAGAGGCUCAGGGGUUCUUCAUAACUGUUCACAGUAAUGCAGAUUCAAUUAAUGUAUGUGUGAAUUAUACAUUCAUAUUCAAAACAGCCAAGGACUUCAUGCAUCAACAGAAAACAGCCGAUGACUAGAUAUAAGGUAUCAAACAGAUUGCAAUUGUGGAAGUGGCAGGUCGUCAGUUUAUAUCAAAGCAGCAUUCAUAAGAGGAUCAACCAAUGUGAAAAAGAUGUCCAAACAUAAACAAGGAUGCAUAUCCCGUGCAGCAAGUGCAUAUGCAAAAGGAUUGCAUAAAGUCAUGGCUCAUAACCAAGCUCCUAGUACAUACUGCAAGUAUAUAUCAAAUCAUUCUAAUACUGCAAAGCAAAACCAGGAUGAUUGUAGUCUUCAAAGUAAAAAGAAAGAAAACAGGAUAACUGGGUGAUGCUUAGUCUGUGUCAGAGACCUCUACUUCCAUCACCCUCUUCUUCUGCUUGUGUUCAGCUGCAGCAUCCAUCAUAGACCGGUCUGUAACCUCACCAACGUGAAGAACUAAUCCAACAGGGUUAGGCUCCACGGCUGUUGAAGGGCUGUCCUCCGUCUCAGGCACAAUGCCAGCCUCAUCCUGAAACAAGAUUGAAACAUAGGUAUUCAUCUUUCAACAAUAAAAUAGAUCACAUCACAACAUAAGAAUUUCAUACAAUUAAUCUUAACUACGUUUAGUCUCUUUACUAUACAUAGAGAAUUACAAAGACCGGGUACUGGACACCAACUAGUACACUCCAAAGAUAGAAAUCAUGCUUUUGGCCACGGUUUACUCAAUGCUCUCUUAUAUCUCUGUCAUGCUCUAUUACUCGAUGCUAAAACAUAUACAUAAACGUAAUUAUAUGUACGCAUACAACAUUCUUAUCAAUACCCAAGUAAAACCCAAAUCAACAAAUUUCUUACAGAAAAAAUAUUUACAAAAAACAAAACAGAAAAAGGCUUGCUGUAAAAGUAAAACUCCAAAUUUAUUUACCGAGUUGUCAAUUAAGCCUCUAAAGCAAGGUCACGGAACUUUACCGUCGGCCAUAGCCUGGCUGGGCCUCCAGCCCUGUGCCGGAGUGGGAAAAACCUCAUGUGGUGCUGGAGGCAUGAAGAAACUCGAAGGAUUUGUGCCUAAUCCCAUGUCCUCCAUUACCUUGAGCACCUGGAAUGGCAGAGUAAGGUAAUUCCACAUCUUGAUGGACUCAAAGUGCUCGACCCGGGAUGCAGGGCUCACCUUUUCGAGAACCUGCGCCACGCAGUCCUUGAUGAAAGCAGAGUCGACCGGACCAGGGUUAAUCUGAUCGGCUAAAUCGCUUUCAUCGACAGCAAUUUGUUCUGCAAGACCCUCUUCAAGGCAAGAGUGUGACAAGCAGUUUUCCAGUAUGGGAACCAUUUCUUCUUUCUUCGGGAGAAACUGUUCUGGGAUCAGAUCGAGUUCUUUGAAGUGAGGUCCCAUAAGGCUUGCAAGAACAGAGGCCUCUGGGUCCGGAGAGGUGGAGGACAUCACUGUUGAAUUUUAGUUGGUUUUUGGAGAAGGAAGGCGUUGGCGGUGUUGGGAUUGGAGGUCACACGCCAAGUCAGCUUUGUAUUUGUAGAAAGAGGUAUUAUUAUAAUUGUUUUUAUAAAAAAAUCAGAGCUUUUUGAAA